UACGGAGGGUGCGAGCGUUAAUCGGAAUUACUGGGCGUAAAGCGCACGCAGGCGGUUUGUUAAGCAAGAUGUGAAAGCCCCGGGCUCAACCUGGGAACUGCAUUUUGAACUGGCAGACUAGAGUCUUGGAGAGGGGGGUGGAAUUCCGUGGUAGUGAUGGAUGAA
rnacentral:rRNA from 1 species